rnacentral:tRNA from 1 species
GUGGUGGCUCGGUGGCAGAGCGCUUGCCUAGCAUGUGUGAGGCACCGAGUUCGAUCCUCAGCACCACA